GGUGCUCAGAGGAGAGGCACAGAGGAAAAUUUGAGAUCGGUUAACGUAAAGACGGUACCUGAAACCUGCACAAAUAUGAUCACUGACGUGCAAAGAUGAGAUCUCUGAUUAGGGGCAAAGAAUGCAGCGAGAAAAGAGGAGGGGAAAGGACUGAGCCUUCCAGAACUCUAGCAUGUAAGUGCCAGGUCGAAGACGGUGAGCCAGCAGGGAAGGAAUAGGAGGGGAAUCUAAGGAAAACCAAGGAGAGUUGAGUGUCACAUAGGCCAAGAGGAAGCAGUAAUUCAACACAGUAAAAUAAAACAAGUACUAACUAGCUCUGAGACCGCCAUCUAGGAAAUAAGGGACUUUUCAGAAUUAAGAUUCUCAGGAUAUAAACCCUGACUUCCAUCUUUUCUACUCAGGAAAAUAAUAAUAUACACUUAGUUACUAGAGAAAUUGAAGCUCAAGAUACAUGAAUACAAGUAAAUAAUAUUUCAUGUGUAUUCAUAUCUCUAGUUCCAGAUAACCGAGUCUCAGUAUAAGAGGGACAACCCCAUGACAAUGGUGACAAGGACAGCUGUUGGCUGAGAGCCUCUCAUGUGAAAGCUUCAUAUCCAAUCGUCAGGUGGCAUUAAAACAAUGAAAGGGAUCCCCGUGCUCUGAGAAUCCACUUCUGCUAAGGUUCCCCUGAGCCAACCCCACAGCACCGCGUGCUCAGACCUCAUUCCUUCUCUUCUUGCUGUGGGUCUGCUUCCAGGACUAACAUGUCCAUCGCCAAACCAGAGCACUGCAGUUCAUCUCUUCCCUCUUGACUCAGUGCUUUUGAACUGGUCAUACAUGAACUGACCUCUGGCUUCACCUCAAGAUUUUGAUUUUUGGACCUGGGGCCACAGAUAACCCAAGAGAGACAACGCGGGGGGCCCAGCCCUGUCAUGUUCCCAAGGGAUGUGAGUGCGGUGACUGUCCCUUCUCUCAGCCCCAGGAUUGGACAACUGAUGUUGGAUUAGGAGGGAAUCAGGUGGUAAUACCCAUUUUCUUGAGGCUCCUGUAUUCUAAUUGCUUAACUCCUCUCCAUUCCACACCUUUUUUCAAAAUUGUAUUGCAUAAUAGAAAAUUAUAUUGACACUAAGUGGUAUCAUGGAAUGAGUACUUUAUUCAUAUUUCUAUUAUGAGUUUUAUACUACAUGUAUUUACAUGUUUUCUGGGUCACACCUUCUACAAAGGCUAAAAUGUCAUCACCUCCUCAAAGGGUUUAUUCUUUGAGUAGCAGCCCUAUUGGAUUUCUAUAAAAGUUAUGAUUCAAUGAAGAUAACUGAUACUUGUUAAGCAGCCCAAAAGAUACCUGACAUUGUACUUGGCAAUAUGUUCUUACAGCCCUGAUAUCUUACUUAAGGGUAAUUUCUCCAUAUAAAAGUGUUUACUAACCAGUUAACUAGCUUUCUGCCUGGUUGCUAACAGGGCUUGGAAAUCUUGCUGCAUAAACACUUGACAGAAUAGCCUUCUAAACUGACUUACCAUUUGAAGUAAAAUGGGGUUAUCAAGUUAAAUCCAACAUACUGCAUCAGCAUACCCUCUCCUAGACACUUUUUUAAGUGCAAAUGGUGGGUUAUCUCCUACAUGUCUUCUAGGGUGAGUUAUGAGAAUUAAAUGUUAUCAUGUUUGCCUCUAGACAAAAUUUUAAUUAGACACACAAGUAGGAGAAAACCACUUUUAAUUGAAAAAUAAAGUAAUACAUCUCAAAUAAGACUCUGUUUAA
rnacentral:lncRNA from 1 species